CAGCAGCCGCGGUAACACGGAGGGUGCAAGCGUUAUCCGGAUUCACUGGGUUUAAAGGGUGCGUAGGCGGAUCUGUAAGUCAGUGGUGAAAUCUCCAGGCUUAACCUGGAAACUGCCGUUGAUACUAUAGGUCUUGAAUUUUGUGGAGGUUAGCGGAAUAUGUCAUGUAGCGGUGAAAUGCAUAGAUACGACAUAGAACACCAAUUGCGAAGGCAGCUGGCUACACAACUAUUGACGCUGAGGCACGAAAGCGUGGGGAUCAAACAGGAUUAGAUACCCCGGUAGUCCCUGUCUCUUAUAC
rnacentral:rRNA from 1 species